AUGACUCUCGACAACGGAUAUCUCGGCUCUAAUAUCGAUGAAGAACGUAGCGAAAUGCGAUACUUGGUGUGAAUUACAAAAUUCCGUGAACCAUCGAGUCUUUGAAUGCAAGUUGCGCCCGAAGACAUUAGGCCGAGGGCACGUCUGCCUGGGUGUCACGUAUCGCGUUGCCCCCCUCGAAUCGCGCCUCAAUCACGGGGCGCGCUGUCGUCGCGGGGUGGAUAAUGGCCUCUCGUGCGCCUCGAGCUCGCGGCUGGCCUAAAUGCGAGUCCACGUUGAUGGACGUCGCGGCAAGAGGUGGUUGCAACUCAACUCUCUAUGCCGUCGCGUCUACGGCCCAUCGCGCGUCCGGACUCCAGAACCCCUUUGCGCUCAGGAGCUCCGACCGCGACCCCAGGUCAGGAGGGAUUACCCGCUGAGUUUAAGCAUAUCAAUAAGCAGAGGAAAAGAAACUUACAAGGAGUCCCUUAGUAAAAGCGAGCGAACCGGGAACAACCCAGCCUUAGAAUCGGUCGGCUCUGUCGUCCGAAUUGUAGUCUGGAGAAGCGUCCUCAGCGGCCGACCGGGCCCAUGUCCCUUGGAAGGGGGCACCGGAGAUGGUGAGAGCCCCAUUGUGCCCGGACACUGUCGCACCACGAGGCAUUGUCUACGAGUCGGGUUUUUUGGGAAUGCAGCCCAAAUCGGACGGUGAAUUCCGUCCAAGGCUAAAUACGAGCGAGAGACUGAUAGCGAAUAAGUACCGCGAGGGAAAGAUGAAAAGAACUUAGAAAAGAGAGUCAAAGAGUGCUUGAAAUUGUCGGGAGGGAAGCGGAUGGGGGCCGGCGAUGCGCCCCGGUCGAAUGUAGAACGGAGACGAGCCGGUCCGCCAAUCGACUUGGGGCGUGGACCAGCGUGGAUUGGGGGGCGACAAAAGCCCGGGCUCGCGAUACGCUUGUGGAACGCCGUCUACUCGAUUGUGGCAGGCAGCGCGCGCCUUCGGCGUGCUUCGUCAUCUGCGCGCUUCGGACACUGGCCUGUGGGCUCCCCAUUCGACCCAUCUUGAAACACGGACCAAGGAGUCUGACAUAUGUGCGAGUCAACGGGCGAGUAAACCAGUAAGGUGCAAGGAAGCUGAUUGGUGGGAUCCCCCCAUGGGGUGCACCGCCGAACGACCUUGAUCUUCUGAGAAGGGUUCGAGUGUGAGCAUACAUGUCGGGACCCGAAAGAUGGUGAACUAUGCCUGAGUGGGGCGAAGCCAGAGGAUACUCUGGUGGAGGCCCGCAGCAAUACUGAUGUGGAAAUCGUUCGUCUGACUUGGGUAUAGCGGUCAAAGACUAAUCGAACCAUCUAGUAGCUGGUUCCCUCCGAAGUUUCCCUCAAGAUAGCUGGAGCUCGCAUGCGAGUUCUAUAGGGUAAAUCCAAUGAUUAGAGGCCUCGGGGGCGCAAUGCCCUCAACCUUUUCUCAAACUUUAAAUAGGUAGGACGGCGCGGCUGCUUACUUGAGCUGCGCCACGGAAUCAAGAGCUCCAAGUUGGCCAUUUUUGGUAUGCAGAACUGGCGAUGCGGGAUGAACCGGAAGCUGGGUUACGGUGCCAAACUGCGUUCUAACCUAGAUCCCACAAAGGGUGUUGGUCGAUUAAGACAUCAGGACGGUAGUCAUGGAAGCCAAAAUCCGCAAAGGAGUGUGUAACAACUCACUUGCCGAAUCAACUAGCCCCGAAAAUGGAUGGCGCUUAAGCACGCGACCUACACCCGGCCGUCGGGGCAAGUACCAGGCCCCGAUGAGUAGGAGGGCGCAGCGGUCGCUACAUAACCUUGGGCGCGAGCCCGGGCGGAGCGGCUGUCGGUGCAGAUAUUGGUGGUAGUAGCAAAUAUUCAAAUGAGAACUUUGAAGGCCGAAGAGGGGAAAGGUUCCAUGUGAACGGCACUUGCACAUGGGUUAGUCGAUCCUAAGACACCGUGGCACCAAGGCACCGUGGCACCAUCGCUCCAUGGCACGAAGGCAGUAUAGCGCCAUGGCACCAAGGCACCGUGGCACCGUGGCGAGGUGGCACCAAGGCACCGUGGCACCAAGGCACCAUGGCACCAAGGCACCAAGGCACUAACGCACCGUGGCAAAAUCAAAAGAGCGUAAACCUACGUUCGAUCAUCCUAAUAUUUUCUUGACGUUCAUCCAUCCUCCUCACCGUUGCAUACUCAUUUUUCUACAUAUCCGCCCUAAUUUUUUAUUUUAAAUAUAUUUCAUUGUUACCUCAUAUGUCGUGGCGGUUUUCGUAAUGUCCCGUCGCCUUUUUUUCAAAUUUUUAUUUAAUAUCCUUAAAUUUAAAUAUUUUAUAUCGUUACGUCAUUCGUAAAAAUACGCACUCAAUUGUUAGUUUAAGGCUUCUUCAUUCUAAUAUGCAUAUUUUGGANAUUUUCCUAAUGUCCCCACGUUAUUUUUAUAUUUAAUAUCCUUAAAUUUAAAUAUUUUAUAUCGUUACGCUAUACGUACAAAUAUGCACUCGAUUGUUGGUUUAAGGUUAGUUCAUGCGCCGAGAAUAUUUUCCUAAUUUUUUCAUAUUUUUAUAAAUAUUUUUUCUAUUUUUUAUUUAUUUUUACAUAUUUUUUGAAUUUUAAUAAAUGAUAUUCGUAAAAAAAUAUUUUCUCAACGAAAAUUAUCAUUUACAAAUUACGCGACCUUUUUGGGAGUGCACAGGCUCCGUCUCACAUCAAAACGUGCAGUUCGGGUCCGCAUAUGUCUGGUAUGAUUCUCAGGCAAAAUCAUGUCUACUCCUGUCACUUGGGGUUUUUUUUUAAGAGUAUAUAAGGGGGGUAGAGGCGUUGAAGGCAUUUCAAGGCGACUGUCGGUAGUUGGCAUAGGCUCUCAGUGGCCAUGUCGGCGUGCAGUGUGGGCGCAUGGCAGCAUGCAUGGCUAGUUCGUGCGNNNNNNNNNNNNNNNNNNNNNNNNNNNNNNNNUUUUUUUUUUAAGCAUAUAUAAGGGGGGUAGAGGUGUUGAAGGCACUUCAAGGCGACUGUCGCUAGCUGGCAUAGGCGCUCAGUGGCAAU
rnacentral:rRNA from 1 species